UACGGAGGGGCUAGCGUUAUUCGGAAUUAUUGGGCGUAAAGGGCGUGUAGGCGGCUUCGUAAGUCUCAUUGUGAAAGCCCUCGGCUCAACCGAGGAACUGCAUGGGAAACUGCGGAGCUUGAGUCCGGGGAGAGGAGAGCGGAAUUCCCAGUGUAGCGGUGAAAUGCGUAGAUAUUGGGAGGAACACCGGUGGCGAAGGCGGCUCUCUGGACCGGUACUGGACGCUGAGACGCGAAAGCUAGGGGAGCAAACGGGG
rnacentral:rRNA from 1 species